CCUACGGGGGGCAGCAGUGGGGGAUAUUGCACAAUGGGGGGAACCCUGAUGCAGCGACACCGCGUGGGUGAAGAAGCGCCUCGGCGCGUAAAGCCCUGUCAGCAGGGAAGAAAAUGACGGUACCUGAAGAAGAAGCCCCGGCUAACUACGUGCCAGCAGCCGCGGUAAUACGUAGGGGGCAAGCGUUAUCCGGAUUUACUGGGUGGAAAGGGGGCGCAGACGGCGAUGCAAGCCAGGAGUGAAAGCCCGGGGCCCAACCCCGGGACUGCUCUUGGAACUGCGUGGCUGGAGUGCAGGAGGGGCAGGCGGAAUUCCUGGUGUAGCGGUGAAAUGCGUAGAUAUCAGGAGGAACACCGGUGGCGAAGGCGGCCUGCUGGACUGCAACUGACGUUGAGGCCCGAAAGCGUGGGGAGCAAACAGGAUUAGAUACCCCAGUAGUC
rnacentral:rRNA from 1 species